rnacentral:misc_RNA from 1 species
GAUGAAGAACGCAGCGAAAUGCGAAAAGUAGUGUGAAUUGCAGAAUUCCGUGAAUCAUCGAAUCUUUGAACGCACAUUGCGCCUCGCGGUAUUCUGCGAGGCAUGCCUGUUCGAGCGUCAUUUCUGCCCUCCAGCCCGGCUGGGUGUUGGGCGCUGUCCCCCCGGGGACACGCCCCAAAGGCAGUGGCGGCGCCGCGUCGGGUCCUCGAGCGUAUGGGGCUUUGUCACCCGCUCGGGACGGACUCGUCGGCGCUGGUCUUCCUCCAGGCGACCCUUCGGGGCUCGUCUUCCUUCGGUUGACCUCGGAUCAGGUAGGGUUACCCGCUGAACUUAAGCAUAUCAAUAAGCGGAGGA